rnacentral:misc_RNA from 1 species
AAGGAGUCGUCUUCGUACGCGAGUGUUCGGGUGUCAAACCCCUACGCGUAAUGAAAGUGAACGUAGGCGAGAGCUUCGGCGCAUCACCGACCGAUCCUGAUGUUCUCGUAUGGAUUUGAGUGAGAGCGUACGUGGCCGGACCCGAAAGAAGGUGAACUAUGCCUGUGUAGGGUGAAGCCAGGGGAAACUCUGGUGGAGGCUCGCAGCGGUUCUGACGUGCAAAUCGCUCGUCAAAUAUGGGCAUGGGGGCGAAAGACUAAUCGAACCUUCUAGUAGCUGGUUUCCGC